GAUAACCUUCCUCUAGUGGUUCCAAUUGAAAGAAUUGAUCCUGGUCAGGGUUCUCCCUCUGUUGUGUAUCAGCUAGGCUAUCAUAUCGGUCUUAAAGGGCAGUAUGAGGGGAGCAAAGAGCAAAAGUACUUUAUGCACAAUCACUUGGCUUUCACUGUCCGGUAUCACAGAGAUGUGCAAACCGAUGCUGCAAGGAUUGUGGGAUUUGAGGUCAAACCAUUCAGUGUCAAGCAUGAAUACGAGGGACAAUGGAGUGAGAAGACCCGUUUGACUACCUGUGAUCCUCACACUAAACGCCUGGUUGUUAGCUCAGCUACACCUCAAGAAGUCGAAAACAAG